AGGGUUGUGGCUCAGUGGUAGAGCACUUGUCUAGCAUAUAUGAGGCACUAGGUUCGAUUCUCAGCACUG
rnacentral:tRNA from 1 species